ensembl:lncRNA
UGUCCAAAAUCCAAAACCUAUAGUGAAAUAUAAUCUGCAAAAAAACUCACUAUGUUGUAUGCCUGAAACUAACACGAUACUGUAAAUCAACUAUACUUCAGUUUUUUUUUUAAAGAAACUAUUGGAGAUUAGAAAGUGUUUAGAAUUGAAUGCAAAUAAAAACAAUAUAUCUAAACUUUUGGGAUGCAUCUAGAGUAAUACUUAGAAGUUUAUAGCCUCGAAUAUGUAUAUUAGGAAAGUCAGGUUGAAAAGGGAUGAGGCAGACAUUCUUACUGAGUUAGAACAAGACUGGCAUAAGUCAAAAAACAGGAGGAAAAAAUAAGAGUAGAAAUAAAUAGAAGAUUCCAAUGGAAAGAUCAGUAUGUUUUCCUCCUACUCCCCACAGCCUUCUUCACCUUAUUAACUAGUACCCUUCAGAUUACCAUUUGGCCAUCUUCUCAUCUAGAGCAGUGGUUCUCCAAGUGUGCAUUCUGGGAACUUGUCAGAAAGGCAGAUUUUUUUAUUCAGACUUACUGGGGGUGGAACAUAGCCAUCUGGGUCGUGAGGCUCUGUGAACAUGGAUCAGGAACCCUCCAGGGAAUUCUGAUACCCAUUUGAGAACCACUGUUCAAACUUGAGUUUGUAUCAGAAUCCCCUCUGGGCUGAUUUAGUGGAAAGUUUAAAAAGUUCCAAGGGGACGUUAAUUCUCUUCUUUUAGAAACCAGUGUUUUAGGGGCUUUAUAAACAGGCCCAGGAGAUUCUGGUUGGCUUGGGUUUGGCAAUGUGACAAACUUCUAUGUGUUCUUAAUAUGCAGCCACUUCUCCAGGAAAACUUACCCAACAAUCUCUGCCAUCCCAAGCUUUGGGUCCAUCUCUCCAAGGAGCUCUCCUCGUACCCAGUGCUCUGCUCCACUGUAGCAAUUAUUUUGUGGCCCAGCACUAUCUACUUGUCUGUCUCUCUCACCAGAAGAUAAAACUCUUGUAGGCAAAGACCUUACCUCCUUUGCUCUUUUACCCUUAAUGUUUUGAUGGGUAUUCAGUAAAUGUUUUGGAGAAGGAAAUGGCAACCCACUCCAGUAUUCUUGCCUGGAGAAUCCCAGGGACAGAGGAGCCUAGUGGGCUGCCGUCUGUGGGGCCGCACAGAGUCGGACACGACUGAAGUGACUUAGCAGCAGCAGCAGUAAAUAUUUGUUGGUUAAUUGAUACUUUAAAUACCUCUGACUGUUAGUGGUACUUACCAGCUGGGCUUCCCUUAUAGCUCAAUUGGUAAAGAACCCACCUGCGAUGCAGAAGACCCUGGUUUGAUUCCUGGGUCAGAAAGAUCCACUGGAGAAGGGAAAGGCUACCCUCUCCAGUAUUCUGGCCUGGAGAAUUCCAUGUACUGUAUAGUCCAUGGGCUCACAAAGAGU